GGGGACGCUAAGCCCCGGAAGCACCUCAAGAAGAAAACAAGAUAAACCUUACAUGAAGCUGCUGAGCAUUUGUUUCGUAUCGUCAUUGACUCUCGAGUUGGCAAAGCUGAUGCAGGAGCAGUAUAGCGCAACCCAAGCACACCACUUCAACUGCAAAUGACAGCCCUGAGGUUACCUGAGGUUUCAAUCAACUUGCCUAAAAGGUCAACACUUCAAAAACGAAGGGUGAACAGGAGCACUGUCCAGAGCGAACGAUGCACUAGAACCCCUACCCCAGCCAGGAACCAGGAGAUAUGGAUCUACACAUGGCCCAAAGCUGGAUCCGAAGAACUCAACUGAAGCAGACUGAGGCUAAAAUACUGCACUGCCAGCUAUCAAAGAUUGAUCUACCUUCCCUUCCCGCCCAACCACUUGGGCUAGACAGUAGAGCGAAGGCCCAUUUUUUUGCAAGCCGGUUUUCAAUCCCCGACUGUCCAAGUGGUUGGGCACAAUUUCGUCCCCAUGUCCCAUCAAAAAUCCUUAUAUUGAUCCCUUCCAAAUGCUAUAUAGUUAUAAUGAUUUAGUGAUUUCUCCUAAUAAUUCCCUUCCCUUCCCUUUCCCUCCAGAAAGUAGAAAGGGUGUAAAAAGAGAGGCAAACCGCAAGGAAUACAACUAAGAAGAUUCCUGAUGAUCUAGAACUGCACGCUGGAAAGCACGACAGGCCGCAUAUAGUGUAAAUAUGCAACCACAUCCCACAGCAGCAGCUCAAACAACUAGAGCAAUGCUAUCAAGGCAAUCUUUGAAGACAACACAAAUGGUGAAACCAGCUGGGAAGAACCCUGCUCUAAACAUAAUUACACCUGAUCAACCAGGCUGUGACUCAUACGUCAGGCUGCGAGCAGCCGCAUCCAACAGCCUGGUUAAUCAGUCCGGCAACCAGGAGGCCUGGUCGACGACCGGGCCGCGGGGACGCUAAGCCCCGGAAGCACCUCAAGGUAACACUGAGAAGAGCUCCAGAGUUGCACAAAAAUGGAGACCCUAUGCCAAAUGGAUCUAAAAUUUGUGGUCCAACAUGAUCUAUUACAGUAUGUACUUAUCAUUUUGACAAUGGCAUAUGAUAGAGCAAUCAUUGGCAAACAAUUCCAUUUAAAAAUCAUAAUUACAGUAAAUGACAAUUAUUGGUGGUCC
rnacentral:lncRNA from 1 species